UACAGAGGGCUCAAGCGUUGUUCGGAUUCAUUGGGCGUAAAGGGUGCGUAGGUGGUGACGUAAGUCUAAUGUGAAAUCUCGGGGCUUAACCCCGAAAUUGCAUCGGAUACUGCGUGACUAGAGGAUUGUAGAGGAGAUUGGAAUUCACGGUGUAGCAGUGAAAUGCGUAGAGAUGUGGAGGAACACCGAUGGCGAAGGCAGCCUCCUGGGCCAGCACUGACGCUCAUGCACGAAAGCGUGGGGAGCAAACAGG
rnacentral:rRNA from 1 species